AAGGGUUGUUUGGAUACUAGGUGCUAAAUUUUAGCAGUGUCACAUCGGAGGUGUCGGGACUACUCCCCAUACCCACGAGUAGGCCUUGGACGGCCCACUAAGGGACGUACUCGGACAUGAUCACAACAAGGAUGGGCGUAUCCUACUCGGACUAGUCUUGUAUGUUUAUGGAAAACUACUCGGGCCGGUACCGAGUAGAACUCUGUAAUAGUACCCGACUAGGACUCAGACUUGUAACUCUACCCUCCCGUGUAUAUAAGGCCGAGCAGGGACCCCCCUCAAACAACAAUCCUCAAAACCAGAACAUACAUCAAUACAAACCAACACACAGGACGUAGGGUAUUACGCGAUCCAGCGGCCCGAACCUGUCUAAAUCAUGUUCCUUGCGUCACCAUUGAUUCCUUGAUUCUCGACGAC
rnacentral:lncRNA from 1 species